CCUACGGGGGGCUGCAGUGAGGAAUAUUGGUCAAUGGACGAGAGUCUGAACCAGCCAAGUAGCGUGAAAGAUGACUGCCCUAUGGGUUGUAAACUUCUUUUAUAUGGGAAUAAAAUGUUCCACGUGUGGGAUUUUGUAUGUACCAUAUGAAUAAGGAUCGGCUAACUCCGUGCCAGCAGCCGCGGUAAUACGGAGGAUCCGAGCGUUAUCCGGAUUUAUUGGGUUUAAAGGGAGCGUAGGUGGAUUGUUAAGUCAGUUGUGAAAGUUUGCGGCUCAACCGUAAAAUUGCAGUUGAAACUGGCAGUCGUGAGUACAGUAGAGGUGGGCGGAAUUCGUGGUGUAGCGGUGAAAUGCUUAGAUAUCACGAAGAACUCCGAUUGCGAAGGCAGCUCACUGGACUGCAACUGACACUGAGGCUCGAAAGUGUGGGUAUCAAACAGGAUUAGAUACCCGAGUAGUC
rnacentral:rRNA from 1 species